rnacentral:sRNA from 1 species
ACUGGUUGGCCUGGCAACGCCGCGUGCUCUUCCCAAGGGGAGGACGCGGGAGAAGCCGGGGCCUGAGUGCUCCAAGGCCCCGUGGGCUUCUUGGGUUUGUUGCCUCCGGCCGCUCAUUAACUCAGGAUGGCGUGGAAGGCCUCGCCCGCCUCCCCUUCUGGGCCGCGGCUCCGCUUAACGCUGGCGUCGAUGCUCCCUUCCUCGGGCCCUUGGAGACUCCGUUGCUUUUUAAUGGCGGCAGCGGCUGCUGGGUGAGCAGCUGGAGGCCGGACAGUGUUCGUCCCAUCCGGAGAGGAUCGCUUUCUCCUGGCGUCACCAGCGCUGGGUUGGUGGGGGUAGCUUUUCCCUCUUUGCUCCUCCAUUCUUGAAGAAAGAAGAAGAUGCCACUGCCAUUUGGGUUGAAACUGAAACGCACCCGGCGCUACACGGUGUCCAGCAAGAGUUGCCUGGUUGCCCGGAUCCAACUGCUUAAUAACGAGUUUGUGGAGUUCACCCUGUCCGUGGAGAGCACUGGCCAGGAAAGCCUCGAGGCCGUGGCCCAGAGGCUGGAGCUGCGGGAGGUCACUUACUUCAGCCUCUGGUACUACAACAAGCAAAAUCAGCGCCGGUGGGUAGAUUUGGAAAAACCUUUGAAGAAGCAGCUGGAUAAAUAUGCAUUGGAACCUACUGUCUAUUUUGGAGUGGUGUUUUAUGUGCCUUCAGUUUCUCAGCUGCAGCAGGAGAUUACCAGGUAUCAGUAUUAUCUGCAACUGAAGAAAGAUAUCUUGGAAGGAAGUAUUCCUUGUACCUUAGAACAAGCAAUUCAGCUAGCAGGCUUAGCUGUUCAAGCGGAUUUUGGUGACUUUGAUCAGUAUGAAUCCCAGGACUUUCUUCAGAAAUUUGCCUUGUUUCCUGUGGGAUGGUUACAAGAUGAAAAAGUACUGGAAGAAGCAACCCAAAAAGUGGCCUUACUACAUCAGAAAUACAGAGGGCUCACAGCUCCUGAUGCUGAAAUGCUGUACAUGCAGGAGGUAGAGAGAAUGGAUGGCUAUGGAGAAGAGAGCUACCCUGCUAAGGAUAGCCAAGGAAGUGACAUAUCCAUUGGAGCGUGUCUUGAAGGUAUCUUUGUGAAACACAAGAAUGGAAGGCAUCCUGUGGUAUUUAGGUGGCAUGACAUUGCCAACAUGUCCCACAACAAGUCCUUUUUUGCAUUAGAGCUGGCAAAUAAAGAGGAGACCAUCCAGUUUCAAACUGAAGACAUGGAAACAGCAAAAUACAUUUGGAGACUCUGUGUUGCGCGACACAAGUUUUACAGACUAAACCAUUGUAACCUUAACCCUGUUGGGCACAAUUAUUACUAUCCCAUUAUUGAUGAAGGUAUGGAGACUUAGAGAAGUGAAAUGUCUUGCCCUGCCACACAACUAGUAAGUGGAGCAGCAAGACUAGAGCCUGUGCUCUUAGCUGCUGUGCUAGCCUGUUAAGAGUAGUUCCUGCCUGCUCUUUUCAUAUUGACAGAUAUCAGUUGACAGAUCAUUUUCAUUUGAUCUGUCUCUCUUGUUUGAUGAAGCUCCAUGAGGGCAGGGUCUCCUCUUC